AUAUGAGCGGGCAGGAAGCGCCGGGGAGGGAGCGAGGGGAGGGCGCCCGGAGCCGCUCGGCGGGCAGGGCCGGCAGACAGACAGACACACGGACAGACAGACACACACACAGACAGCUCGGCAGCAGCCACAGCAGCGACAGCAGCCACAGCAGCGACCGUCCGUCCCCACGGCCAUGGGGCUCGGCCGGCUCCCCGCACCCCGCCAUUGGCUCUUUUGGUGGGUCCUGUGCCCCGCGCAGGCUGUGGCUGAGCAGGGGAGGUCCUGCAGCCCUGUCACACUGUGCUGAGUGUGGCUGCUCUCCCUGCACAACUCCUUCAGCUCAUUUCGUGUGAGAUCUCUCUCUUCCAAAUGCAGGGCAAAAGCUGGAAUGGGAACCUCACACAUGGAGGCUGGGGGAUGCCUGGGCUGGUAGCAGGAGCACACAGUGCAUGCAGCUGGAUCCAAAUAGGUCAGGUACACCUACUGGGGACAUAAAUGAUCAAUCGCUUAAAGUGGUUGCCUAAUGGCUUUGUCAUUCUGGCUUGUAACACAGUAUAUUAAUUAUCAAAUGUGCUACUUAUAUCUCUAAUAUAUUUUAUUGUAUCAUUUAUAGACUUCUUGUAAACUUUCUGUGGCUGCCAAAAUUAUCAUAGUGUGCACAGCAGACGAAAAACUUGGAAGUAUUAUUUUGUUCUUGCAAGGUUUGCAGUGGGUGCCAGGUCCAGACUAUGCACAGAUGCUAAAACACUUCUGAAUUUAAUUGUGGGUAGUUUAACACCUUUGUAGCACCAUAAAGACUAAAUGUAAAUCCCAGGUUAAUGAAUGAGAAAAUCCCUGUGGUGUCAUUAAAUCUUCCCCAGAGUGAACUCAGCCUGCCCAAUGAAUAAAUGUUUAAUGCAGUGCUGUGUCA
rnacentral:lncRNA from 1 species